AAAAUGUUCUUAAGAUUCUUAAAACUGGGACUCAGUAGUUACAAGCACCAGCUGCUCUUAUAGAGGACCCAGGUUCAAGUUCCAGCACCUACAUGGCAGCUCACAACUGUCUGUAUAUAACUCCAUUUUUAGGGGCUUAAUAUCCUCACACAGACUUACAUGCAGGCAAAACACAGUGCUCAUAAAAAUAACAGUAAAUAAAUAAAUCAUUAAAAAAGAGAUACUUAAGACUAAUAGAACCAUUUCUUUGAUGCAGCACAUGGUUGGAUGUGCUUCUGAGCCUGUUAAGCAUUGUAGUCACAGAUCAGAAGUAAGUGGGAACCAGUCUGCAUUGUAACUGAAUUCGGGGAUUCUAUUUUGCAAUGGAGGCAGAAUUAACUGGAACCUUGUCAGACAUUUGUUUGUAAAGGGGCAAGCAGAAAUAAGAGCUCAGGAAAGUUGUGCAAGUACAGCGUACAGAGGCAUUUUAACAUGCAGCAGAAAGUCCCAGCCUUGGAGUAACUUCUGGGGCUGUUAUGAGCUCCUGUGGGAGGUUAGAGCUUUUAUUGUUUCUAGUAUUUCUCCCAGAGUAACAGAGAGGCUCAAUUUCUGUUCCCUGCCAUGACUCUAAGAAAAUGAGGGAUGGCUGUAAUUCAUUGUAGAAAAACUUUCACCAAAUUGUUAAAGAUAAAGUGCUUUCCCCUUACUUACUCACACAUUUAGGGAACACUGCUAGAUAACUGCUGUGUUCCAGACACUGCUCUAGCCUGGACACAUGACAGGGAACAAGACUGACAUGUGCUUCGCUCUUGUGGACUUGGGUUCUCUGGAAGCAUUAGCGGAGGGCCUCAUUUUCGGAUGAUGCUAGCAUUAGUCAUUUCUGUGUUUGGGAAGUGCAGAGAGAAUUUGAAGUGUUCUAAGUUGUUUCCACUUUGAGUGGAAAUAGGAAAUCAUCUGAAGACAUAAUUAGUUUGAGUGAAGCAGUUUCCAUUAGGAGCACAAGUGAAAUAAAAAGCCAGAAUUUAGGCCCUGCCAUUAAGUUUAAUAAUAUUUGAAAUUGUAACUACACUGCUGUGUUGAGGAAGCAUGACUAGAAAGUGGGUUUUGUCAUGUUAGCUAUAAAAAUGGAAAGGCUGUCCUCAGAGGUAGAAACCAGGCCCAGUGGGGACACUGUUCUCCAUAUGUUACUUGCACAGUCAAUAUAGUCAAGAAAUAUUAUGUAAUGUUGACUUCUUGCAAACAAGUGGCUUACAGAACAGAGGUAGCAAUUUAAAGGCCUUCUUGGUAUAUUUCUUAAAGCUCUGCCAAGGACCCUGACUUUGUGAGAGUUACAUUAUAGCAUAAUUGGCUGUACUGCAGAUCCCAUUUUUCAGUGCUUUUCAUUAUAGAGGCAGAUAUUUUAACACAGGAAAAGAUGCACUUGUUACUCCACAGUGAAAACUUAGGCUAAGGAUUAAGUUGGUCGGCAUUGCUGGCUAGAGAAGUCUGUGCUGGAAAUACGUCUAUAGCUGUCCAUCUGUUUUCCUGAGGCUGGGAUGGCUGGAAUAGGUGGCACGGGGUACAUAGGAGGACUCUUUAGUCCUUGAUAAUUCUCUUUCCCCAGUUCUGCUGUCUGUCAUCUGUCAUGCCUCUUCAGGCUCCUGGCAGAUUUCUUAGUUGUCUCCAGCAAGAACUCAGAUAGGAGCUGACACUGGGGUCAGAGAUCGAGCAGCACAGCCGUGUUGCUCAGUCCUCCUCUGCAUGAGUUGAAUUUGUGUUUUAUCUCCUAGUCUGAGGAUGCAACUUGCUCUGUGGUGCUGUCAGGUGCCUGGCUGCCUUGCUUGUUAUCUAAUGCUUACUAAGUCUCAUAGAUCACUUGAACCUGCAUCUUAUCAGUAGAGGGAAGGGUCAUGAGAAAAACUUGAUGCGAAUAAGGAGUGCGGAGUGCGGUGAUGGAAGGCGAGGUACUGGUGACCGGUCUGAGCGUGUUGUGGUGAUUGAACUCCAUCUUGCUUUGACAGGAUCCUGUAGCUGAGUGAUGGACUGGCAGUGAGCUGCCGUCUGCUGUGUGUUUAUUUUGGGUGUCCCUAAACCUCUUUUUAUAUAAGGUUAUAUUCUGGCCCUUAAGCAAGUUUCAGUGAGGGAUGCUCUGAAUGUUUCUGAACCUCACUGGAAUGGGCUUAAACUGUAGACAGUAUAGGAGACCCAAGGAGAAUGUGUUUAUUUUGGAAUUACUUAAGCUUAGUAACCUUAACAAACGCAGUGAGCUUGAAAGUAACAAUUAGACUUUUAUAAGCCCCAUACAGCUCCCUUUGUAAUGACCCGAGGAAACACUUACGGGUCCGCUGAUUCAUCUCCUGGGGACCAUCAGUUUUCCACUGGUCUCUGGCCAGUCUGUUUUAGACAGUUUCUCUUCUAUGCACUUAAAAAUAACAUUUCUAGACGUUUUUCUAAAAAUAAUACCUGUGCUUUGUAGAAAAUGUAAGAAAAAUAGAGAAACUGCAGAAGAAAAGAAGCUUACUGUUCAUAAGCCGCCUCUGUAGAUACAGUCACCCCAGUACACGUGUGGGCACACAUAUACUUUUAAAUUUUUUCAUUUAAUUUUAUGGUGUGUGUGUGUGUGCUACCUGAUUUUAUAUAUAAGCGUGUCAUGUAUGUGUCUAGUAGACAUGGAGGGUAUUAGAUCUCCUGGAGCUGGAGUUACAGAUGAUCGUGAGCCUCCAUGUGGAUUCUAGGAAUGUAACCCAGGUCCUCUAGGAAGCAGAGAAAGUGCUCUUAAUCACUGAGCCAUCCUUCCAGCCCUCUUUUUGUUUUUUCUUUGUUUUUAAAAAACUGCUUAUUUAAUUUGUUGGUGAGUGCUAGUGUGAAUGUGUCAGAGGAGGGGGUUGGAGCCCCUGGAACUGGAGGGACAGAUGGCUGUGAGCUGCCCUGUGGGUGCUGGGAUCCAAACCCAGGUCCUCUGCAAAAGCAGUAAACAUCUCUCCAUCCACACUCUGAACCUUUCAGUGUGUAAGCUCACUGCAUAAAGAAAGGAAAGUUUUAAAACUGAACUGAAAUGAUUUUGAACCAUGUUUUCCAUCUAAUAGCAUAAUAGUGUAAAUAGUAGUAUUAAGAAAAAAAGAACAUUUACUUCCACUUAAACUCUACAGGAAAGUGUAGCUUGUAAAAUCUCUGAAGUACCAGUCUUGUUUAUGUGUGCUACUGCUUGCAAGGUUGUGAAAUGCCACCUUUGAAUCUUGUGAACCGUCUCCGCUGUGUAUUUCUAUACUUUUAUAGCUUCUUUAGAAUAAACAAUUAGAAACC
rnacentral:lncRNA from 1 species